rnacentral:rRNA from 1 species
CCUACGGGAGGCAGCAGUGAGGAAUAUUGGACAAUGGGCGCAAGCCUGAUCCAGCCAUGCCGCGUGCAGGAAGAAGCAUCUAUGGUGUGUAAACUGCUUUUGUACAGGAAGAAACACUCCCUCGUGAGGGAGCUUGACGGUACUGUAAGAAUAAGGACCGGCUAACUCCGUGCCAGCAGCCGCGGUAAUACGGAGGGUCCAAGCGUUAUCCGGAAUCAUUGGGUUUAAAGGGUCCGUAGGCGGUUUAAUAAGUCAGUGGUGAAAUCUGGUCGCUCAACGAUCAAACGGCCAUUGAUACUGUUAGACUUGAAUUAUAAGGAAGUAACUAGAAUAUGUAGUGUAGCGGUGAAAUGCUUAGAUAUUACAUGGAAUACCAAUUGCGAAGGCAGGUUACUACUUAUGGAUUGACGCUGAUGGACGAAAGCGUGGGGAGCGAACAGGAUUAGAUACCCUGGUAGUCCACGCCGUAAACGAUGGAUACUAGCUGUUCGGAGCAAUCUGAGUGGCUAAGCGAAAGUGAUAAAGUAUCCCACCUGGGGAGUACGUUCGCAAGAAUGAAAACUCAAAAUGAAUUGACGGCUGAGACAGCGAGACGACGACGAGGGAGGAGG